AUUUAUUCCCUUUUAUUACCCUUGCUGUUUUAUUUUAUUGUUGUAGUUAUUAUUGUUGUUAUUGAUGUCAUCAUUGUUGGAUAGGACAGAGAGAAAUGGAGAGAGGAGGGGAAGACAGAGAGGGGGAGAGAAAGAUAGACACUUGCAGACCUGCUUCACCACCUGUGAAGUGACUCCCCUGCAGGUAGGGAGCUGGGGGCUUGAACCGGGAUCCUUAGGCCGGUCCUUGCACUUUGCACCAUGUGCGCUUAACCCACUGCACUACUGCCUGACUCCCUACUGUUUCACCUCUUGUGGAACUCCUCUAAGCAGGUAAGAACCAGGGGCUUGAACUUGGGUCCUUGAGCAUGGUAACAUAUGCCCUCUUGAAAGGUGUGUCACAUUCCAGCUCCUAAUAUUAUUUCUUUCUUUCUUUCUUUCUUUCUUUCUUUCUUUCUUUUUUAUUGCCACCAGGAUUAUCACUAGAGCUUGCUACCUGCAUGGCAAAUCCACUGGUCCCAGUGCCAUUUUUCCCUUUUUCCACCCUUUUCUUUCUUUCUUUUUUUUUUUUUUUUUUUUAUUUGGUAGGACAGAGAAAAACUGAGAAGGAGGUUGGAGAGAGAGAGAGAGAGGGAGAGAGAGAUACCUGCAGACCUGCUUCACCACUCAUGAAGCAUCCCCCUUACAGGUGGGGACCAAGGUUGGAAUAGGAGGUAAAUCCAAACAUGGCAUGUUUAGCAUAAAACCUAAGAAUUGGAUGUUCAGACGAUGUAUUUUCUUCUCUCCUGGGAGGACAGACUUCAACAUCUGGGGGAAAUACCGUUAGAUCAAUUCUGUAAGUCACCUGAGACAUAGCCGUAACAGCACUUACAGGAAAGAAUCAUCCAGGAAAUUGGCUCUGACCAGCAUGUGGGAGAUGCAAAAGCCGGCUCUUUCUGGGUGGCCAUCAGCGUGAUCCCCCGGACUCUUCCUUCAGGUUCUUGUUCUGAAGAGAGGGGGUGAGACAGAGACAGAAGAGGCACACCAGAACUCUGCAUCUCUUCUCUAUCUGUGGGACUCUCCCGGCACUGUGAGUGGUGUUCCCAUGUAAUGCUUGGGUUUGAACCCAGGACCUCAUUCAUAGUGGCCAUAGAUUGACUGUACCAGGUGAGCUGU